GAUGAACGCUGGCGGCGUGCUUAAUACAUGCAAGUCGAGCGAACAGGUGAUGCUCUUGCUGCUCGGACGUGUGCGGCGGAGGUGUGUGAAACACGUGUAUAACGUCCCUGUAAGACGGGUAUCACUUGGGGAAACCGGAUCUAAUACGGUAGAAGCUAUUGAACCGCAUGGGUCGAUGGUGAGAGACGGUGGUGCGGUCAGGUAUAGAGGGAUCCGCGCCGGAUGAGCUAGUUGGUAAGGUAACGGCUUAUCAAGGGAAGGAGGCGUAGACGAACGGUGAGAGUGAUAGGCGACACUGGAGGUGAGACACGGACCAGACUACUACGAGAGGCAGCAGUAGGGAAUCGUCCGCAAUAGGCGAAAGCAUGACGGAGUAACGCCGAGUGAGUGAUGAAGGUCUUCGGAUCGUAAAACUCUGUUAUGAGGGAAGAACAAAUGUGUAAGUAACUAUGCAGGGCUUGACGGUACCUAAUCAGAAAGCCACGGCUAACUACGUG
rnacentral:rRNA from 1 species